rnacentral:rRNA from 1 species
GAGCGAACGGACGAGAAGCUUGCUUCUCUGAUGUUAGCGGCGGACGGGUGAGUAACACGUGGAUAACCUACCUAUAAGACUGGGAUAACUUCGGGAAACCGGAGCUAAUACCGGAUAAUAUUUUGAACCGCAUGGUUCAAAAGUGAAAGGCGGUCUUGCUGUCACUUAUAGAUGGAUCCGCGCUGCAUUAGCUAGUUGGUAAGGUAACGGCUUACCAAGGCAACGAUGCAUAGCCGACCUGAGAGGGUGAUCGGCCACACUGGAACUGAGACACGGUCCAGACUCCUACGGGAGGCAGCAGUAGGGAAUCUUCCGCAAUGGGCGAAAGCCUGACGGAGCAACGCCGCGUGAGUGAUGAAGGUCUUCGGAUCGUAAAACUCUGUUAUUAGGGAAGAACAUAUGUGUAAGUAACUGUGCACAUCUUGACGGUACCUAAUCAGAAAGCCACGGCUAACUACGUGCCAGCAGCCGCGGUAAUACGUAGGUGGCAAGCGUUAUCCGGAAUUAUUGGGCGUAAAGCGCGCGUAGGCGGUUUUUUAAGUCUGAUGUGAAAGCCCACGGCUCAACCGUGGAGGGUCAUUGGAAACUGGAAAACUUGAGUGCAGAAGAGGAAAGUGGAAUUCCAUGUGUAGCGGUGAAAUGCGCAGAGAUAUGGAGGAACACCAGUGGCGAAGGCGACUUUCUGGUCUGUAACUGACGCUGAUGUGCGAAAGCGUGGGGAUCAAACAGGAUUAGAUACCCUGGUAGUCC